rnacentral:rRNA from 1 species
CGAACGCUGGCGGCGCGUUUAAGCAUGCAAGUCGAGCGGCAAGGGCCUUCGGGCCCCUAGAGCGGCGGACGGGUGAGUAACACGUGGACAAUCUGCCCCCCGGCCCGGGAUAGCCCAGGGAAACCUGGAUUAAUACCGGAUGAGACGGGACCCGCGAUGGCGGGAUCCGGGAAAGGCGCUGCGGCGCCGCCGGGGGAUGAGUCUGCGUCCCAUUAGCUAGACGGCGGGGUAACGGCCCACCGUGGCGACGAUGGGUAGCCGGCCUGAGAGGGUGGACGGCCACAUUGGAACUGAGACACGGUCCAGACUCCUACGGGAGGCAGCAGCUAAGAAUCUUCCGCAAUGGGCGAAAGCCUGACGGAGCCGACGCCGCGUGAACGAAGAAGGCCGUGAGGUUGUAAAGUUCUUUUCGGGAGGGGGAACAACCGUGGCAGGGAAUGGCCGCGGGAUGACGUGAAUCCCGGAAUAAGCCCCGGCUAACUACGUGCCAGCCGCGGC